CGUACACGGUGGAUGCCCUGGCAGUCAGAGGCGAUGAAGGGCGUGCUAAUCUGCGAUAAGCGCCGGUAAGGUGAUAUGAACCGUUAUAACCGGCGAUACCCGAAUGGGGAAACCCAGUGUGACUCGUCACACUAUCAUUAACUGAAUCCAUAGGUUAAUGAGGCGAACCGGGGGAACUGAAACAUCUAAGUACCCCGAGGAAAAGAAAUCAACCGAGAUUCCCCCAGUAGCGGCGAGCGAACGGGGAGGAGCCCAGAGCCUGAAUCAGCAUGUGUGUUAGUGGAAGCGUCUGGAAAGGCGCGCGAUACAGGGUGACAGCCCCGUACACAAAAGCGCAUGUGCUGUGAGCUCGAUGAGUAGGGCGGGACACGUGGUAUCCUGUCUGAAUAUGGGGGGACCAUCCUCCAAGGCUAAAUACUCCUGACUGACCGAUAGUGAACCAGUACCGUGAGGGAAAGGCGAAAAGAACCCCGGCGAGGGGAGUGAAAAAGAACCUGAAACCGUGUACGUACAAGCAGUGGGAGCACAGGUUUACCUGUGUGACUGCGUACCUUUUGUAUAAUGGGUCAGCGACUUAUAUUCUGUAGCAAGGUUAACCGAAUAGGGGAGCCGGAGGGAAACCGAGUCUUAAUUGGGCGUUAAGUUGCAGGGUAUAGACCCGAAACCCGGUGAUCUAGCCAUGGGCAGGUUGAAGGUUGGGUAACACUAACUGGAGGACCGAACCGACUAAUGUUGAAAAAUUAGCGGAUGACCUGUGGCUGGGGGUGAAAGGCCAAUCAAACCGGGAGAUAGCUGGUUCUCCCCGAAAGCUAUUUAGGUAGCGCCUCGUGAAUUCAUCUCCGGGGGUAGAGCACUGUUUCGGCUAGGGGGCCAUCCCGGCUUACCAACCCGAUGCAAACUGCGAAUACCGGAGAAUGUUAUCACGGGAGACACACGGCGGGUGCUAACGUCCGUCGUGAAGAGGGAAACAACCCAGACCGCCAGCUAAGGUCCCAAAGUCAUGGUUAAGUGGGAAACGAUGUGGGAAGGCCCAGACAGCCAGGAUGUUGGCUUAGAAGCAGCCAUCAUUUAAAGAAAGCGUAAUAGCUCACUGGUCGAGUCGGCCUGCGCGGAAGAUGUAACGGGGCUAAACCAUGCACCGAAGCUGCGGCAGCGACACUGUGUGUUGUUGGGUAGGGGAGCGUUCUGUAAGCCUGCGAAGGUGGCCUGUGAGGGUUGCUGGAGGUAUCAGAAGUGCGAAUGCUGACAUAAGUAACGAUAAAGCGGGUGAAAAGCCCGCUCGCCGGAAGACCAAGGGUUCCUGUCCAACGUUAAUCGGGGCAGGGUGAGUCGACCCCUAAGGCGAGGCCGAAAGGCGUAGUCGAUGGGAAACGGGUUAAUAUUCCCGUACUUGGUGUUACUGCGAAGGGGGGACGGAGAAGGCUAUGUUGGCCGGGCGACGGUUGUCCCGGUUUAAGCGUGUAGGUGUGUGUUCCAGGUAAAUCCGGUUCACUUUAACACUGAGGCGUGACGACGAGGCACUACGGUGCUGAAGCAACAAAUGCCCUGCUUCCAGGAAAAGCCUCUAAGCAUCAGGUAACAUCAAAUCGUACCCCAAACCGACACAGGUGGUCAGGUAGAGAAUACCAAGGCGCUUGAGAGAACUCGGGUGAAGGAACUAGGCAAAAUGGUGCCGUAACUUCGGGAGAAGGCACGCUGACACGUAGGUGAAGUGAUUUACUCAUGGAGCUGAAGUCAGUCGAAGAUACCAGCUGGCUGCAACUGUUUAUUAAAAACACAGCACUGUGCAAACACGAAAGUGGACGUAUACGGUGUGACGCCUGCCCGGUGCCGGAAGGUUAAUUGAUGGGGUCAGCGCAAGCGAAGCUCCUGAUCGAAGCCCCGGUAAACGGCGGCCGUAACUAUAACGGUCCUAAGGUAGCGAAAUUCCUUGUCGGGUAAGUUCCGACCUGCACGAAUGGCGUAAUGAUGGCCAGGCUGUCUCCACCCGAGACUCAGUGAAAUUGAACUCGCUGUGAAGAUGCAGUGUACCCGCGGCAAGACGGAAAGACCCCGUGAACCUUUACUAUAGCUUGACACUGAACAUUGAGCCUUGAUGUGUAGGAUAGGUGGGAGGCUUUGAAGUGUGGACGCCAGUCUGCAUGGAGCCGACCUUGAAAUACCACCCUUUAAUGUUUGAUGUUCUAACGUGGACCCGUUACCCGGGUUGCGGACAGUGUCUGGUGGGUAGUUUGACUGGGGCGGUCUCCUCCUAAAGAGUAACGGAGGAGCACGAAGGUUGGCUAAUCCUGGUCGGACAUCAGGAGGUUAGUGCAAUGGCAUAAGCCAGCUUGACUGCGAGCGUGACGGCGCGAGCAGGUGCGAAAGCAGGUCAUAGUGAUCCGGUGGUUCUGAAUGGAAGGGCCAUCGCUCAACGGAUAAAAGGUACUCCGGGGAUAACAGGCUGAUACCGCCCAAGAGUUCAUAUCGACGGCGGUGUUUGGCACCUCGAUGUCGGCUCAUCACAUCCUGGGGCUGAAGUAGGUCCCAAGGGUAUGGCUGUUCGCCAUUUAAAGUGGUACGCGAGCUGGGUUUAGAACGUCGUGAGACAGUUCGGUCCCUAUCUGCCGUGGGCGCUGGAGAACUGAGGGGGGCUGCUCCUAGUACGAGAGGACCGGAGUGGACGCAUCACUGGUGUUCGGGUUGUCAUGCCAAUGGCACUGCCCGGUAGCUAAAUGCGGAAGAGAUAAGUGCUGAAAGCAUCUAAGCACGAAACUUGCCCCGAG
rnacentral:rRNA from 1 species